rnacentral:rRNA from 1 species
UGGGGAAUAUUGGACAAUGGGCGAAAGCCUGAUCCAGCAACGCCGCGUGAGUGCUAAGGCCUUCGGGUUGUAAAGCUCUUUUAGUAGGAAAGAUUAUGACGGUACCUACAGAAAAAGCCCCGGCUAACUUCGUGCCAGCAGCCGCGGUAAUACGAAGGGGGCUAGCGUUACUCGGAAUUAUUGGGCGUAAAGAGUGCGUAGGCGGCACAAUAAGUUGGAAGUAAAAGCCUCAGGCUUAACCUGAGAAUCGCUUUCAAAACUGUUGUGCUUGAGUGCCAAAGAGGAUAGCGGAAUUCCUAGUGUAGAGGUGAAAUUCGUAGAUAUUAGGAGGAACACCGAGAGCGAAAGCAGCUAUCUGGUUGGUUACUGACGCUGUUGCACGAAAGCGUGGGGAGCAAAC